UAAAUUCUCCCUCCGUCCCAAAAUUCUUGUCUUAGAUUUGUCUAAAUACGGAUGUAUCUAGUUACAUUUUAGUGUUAGAUACAUCCGUAUCUAGACAAAUGUAAGACAAGAAUUUUGGGACGGAGGGAGUAUGAU
rnacentral:pre_miRNA from 1 species